AUGUCCGGGGUUCCGCCCAUCCCGGGGCGGGCCUCCUGCACGUAGGUGGCGCCCGCCGACGGCGUCCUGGGGCCGAGGUUCCACACCUCGCGGACCUCC
rnacentral:tRNA from 1 species